GGUGACUUUAAUCUUCCUGAUGUAAAUUGGAAAACAAAAUUAGCUACUUGUGCCAGGAGCACACAUAUUCUAAACUCCCUACUGGGUUUGUCUCUAAACCAAGUUGUUGAGGAGCCAACUCGUAAAGAGGCCAUACUAGAUUUAGUGUUAACAAAUGGAGAUUUAGUAUCAGAUGUUACUGUAGGUGAAAGUUUAGGAUCCAG
rnacentral:lncRNA from 1 species